rnacentral:tRNA from 1 species
GGAAUACGAUUCACUUGCAAGAUGCCUUGAUGGUGAAAUGGUAGACACGCGAGACUCAAAAUCUCGUGCUAAAGAGCGUGG